UACGUAGGGGGCAAGCGUUGUCCGGAUUUACUGGGCGUAAAGAGCGCGCAGGCGGUCGAAUAAGUCGAAUGUGAAAGCCCCCGGCUUAACUGGGGAGGGUCAUUCGAUACUGUUCGACUUGAAGGCAGGAGAGAGAAGCAGAAUUCCCGGUGUAGUGGUGAAAUGCGUAGAUAUCUGGAGGAACACCGGUGGCGAAGGCGGCAUCCUGGACCGGCAUUGACGCUGAGGAGCGAAAGCCAGGGGAGCAAACGGG
rnacentral:rRNA from 1 species